GCCUGCAGCCCACACCGACGUCGCUCCUGCUCCGCCCGCUGCUGCCUUCGCCGCGCCUCGCCUGUAGCCCGCGACGCCGCUGCUCUGCCGUGCCUUCGCCAUGCCCCGACGUCGCUCCUGCUCGGCCCGCUGCUGCCUUCGCCGCACCUCGCCUGCAGCCCGCGACGCCGCUGCUCUGCCUUCCCCGUGACUCGAAGUCGCGCCCGAAGCCAUGCCCCAAAGCCCGCGAUGCCGCAGCUCUGCCUUGUCUUUUCUUUUAAUCUUCGAAAUAGAAACAUUGCUUAGAGUCUUAUGUUUUUCGUGGUGCUUGUCUGACACUCGUUGUUGUUUUGUAGUUAGUUGGGCUUGAUGUUUUGGAAAUCUGAGUAGAACAUGUGAAAACAAAAUGUCUUUCAGUGACGUGCUUACUUGGUUGCACUUUACUGGAUAAGUGUAGAGAAGAAGCCCCCAUUUUGCUGUCUCUUUUGUUUCUUUAACCUGAUGGCCAAUAUAUAUGAUGUUUUCUUAUAAUUCUGAAAGUCUUUAGUCCUUAUGCCGUUGAGGUGUGCUCUUUUAGUAAGCUCAAUACAGGAGUAAUUCCAUCGGGGUUUAUGGACCCUGGUUUGGAAGUCAUGAUUACUUAUUUGCUGUAAUGAAUUGUGCUUUAAAUGUUUGAUUUUGGUUGAUAUAGUCCCCUUUAUGCAAUGUUCUAUUCCUAAUAAGUUCAUUUCUCAUAAGCUGUUUAAAGGAGAGCAAAACAUUCUUGAAUAUUUCUUCCCUCGUGAAUGCAGCUUUAACCUUAAGUACCUACCAACAUUGGUGGAAAGAGAUGUUCAUUGAAAGACAUGGAAUAUGUGGCACGCCUGCUACAAGAGUAGUUUGCAUUCUCUUGUUCAUGCUCAGGAGGAGAGGAAGAGACAACCUAGACAAGGCUUAUAUGUUUGAAACGGGAAGCCUUCAGAUGCUCCAGUGAGGAGAUGUGGGUAUGAGAUGAAGACUCCAGUUAAAUGGGAAGAGGGAAGACGUAGGAAGGAGAUUAUAAGAAAAGAUGUGGACCACUUAGAUCUUAUGGAAGUCUUGACACAAAGUGCAAUGGCAUUGGAAGAAUUCAUAUGGCUAACCCUACUUAAUAGGAUAACAUUUAAUUUGUUUGUGGUAAAUAUUGUGUGGUGAAAUUGUAUCUGGUACAUGACGUAGCUUGAUGUACUUUAUAUUAGAUGUAAACUCACGGCCUCUUUUAUUACAGGAAGCUUUA
rnacentral:lncRNA from 1 species